AUUGAACGCUGGCGGCAGGCCUAACACAUGCAAGUCGAGCGAGCGGCGGACGGGUGAGUAAUGUCUGGGAAACUGCCUGAUGUAGGGGGAUAACUACUGGAAACGGUAGCUAAUACCGCAUACCAUCAGAUGUGCCCAGAUGGGAUUAGCUAGUAGGUGGGGUAACGGCUCACCUAGGCGACGAUCCCUAGCUGGUCUGAGAGGAUGACCAGCCACACGGGAACUGAGACACGGCCCAGACGCAUACGGGAGGAAGCAGUGGGGAAUAUUGCAAAAUGGGCGCAAGCCUGAUGCGGACAUGCCGCGUGGGUGAAGAGGGCCUUCGGGUGUUAAAGCACUUUCAGCGGGGAGGCGUUACCCGAAGAAGAAGCACCGGCUAACUCCGUGCCAGCAGCCGCGGUAGUAC
rnacentral:rRNA from 1 species